rnacentral:miRNA from 1 species
ACCUGUUAGCCUGAAAAGUUUCUGCUGGAAAAUCUGAUAGUCUCAUAGACAUUCAUGUAUCAUAUAUAUAUAUAUCUCAGAUUUUUCAGCAGAAACUUUUCAGGCUAACAGG